rnacentral:rRNA from 1 species
AGCGAACGCUGGCGGCAUGCCUAACACAUGCAAGUCGAACGAGACCUUCGGGUCUAGUGGCGCACGGGUGCGUAACGCGUGGGAACCUGCCCUUAGGUUCGGAAUAACUCCCCGAAAGGGGUGCUAAUACCGGAUAAUGUCUUCGGACCAAAGAUUUAUCGCCUUUGGAUGGGCCCGCGUUGGAUUAGCUAGUUGGUAGGGUAAAAGCCUACCAAGGCGACGAUCCAUAGCUGGUCUGAGAGGAUGAUCAGCCACACUGGGACUGAGACACGGCCCAGACCCCAAGGGAAGGAGGAGGGGGGAAAAAUGGAAAAAGGGGGGAAGGCUGGACCAAGAAAGGCGGGGGGAGGGAGAAAGGCUUUAGGUUGGAAAAGUUCUUUACCCGGGAUGAUAAUGACAGUACCGGGAGAAUAAGCUCCGGCUAACUCCGUG